rnacentral:rRNA from 1 species
UACGUAGGUGGCGAGCGUUGUCCGGAUUUAUUGGGUUAAAGGGUGCGUAGGCGGCUUUGUAAGUCAGUGGUGAAAUACUCCAGCUUAACUGGAGGGGUGCCAUUGAUACUGCGGAGCUUGAGUACAGAUGAGGUAGGCGGAAUUGACGGUGUAGCGGUGAAAUGCAUAGAUAUCGUCAAGAACACCGAUAGCGAAGGCAGCUUACUGGGCUGUAAACUGACGCUGAUGCACGAAAGUGUGGGGAUCAAACAGG